AAAGAAGGAUGCAUGUUCUGAGUGAUGGUAUAGAGCUUACGUAGAAGUAAUAAACCGCCAGCGAAGCAGCACGGCGCUCACCAGCACGCCACUCUGAACAGGCAAAGCCCAGAGUGCUCGCAGCUAAGCCCGGGAGGGGCGGGGCUGGGCUGCGGGGCGGAAGCUGGAAUCCGGCGGCUGCGGAAACGCGACCUCUGCGGGGCAAGAUGGCGGCGCCCCGACAGGCCUGGAGCACGGAUGAAUAAGAGAGAAUCCCCACAGGGAGACACUGCUGGAGAGAGUCGUACUGGGGAGGCAGCUGGAGCAGCAAGAUGCUGUCGAGACCAAAACCAGGGGAGUCUGAGAUGGACCUGCUGCGCUUCCAGAGUCAGUUUCUUGCAGCUGGUGCAGCCCCAGCGGUGCAGUUGGUGAAGAAAGGAAAUAGGGGCGAUGGUGAUGCCAACUCAAACCGGCCUCCGCUACAGGACCAUCGGGAUGUGGUGAUGUUGGACAAUCUUCCAGAUCUGCCCCCAGCUUUGGUCCCUUCGCCCCCGAAGAGAGCCAGGCCCAGCCCUGGCCACCCCCUGCCUGAGGAUGAGGACCCAGAAGAGAGGCUGAGGAGGCAUGAUCAGCACAUCACUGCUGUCUUGACUAAGAUUAUUGAACGAGAUACAAGUUCAGUGGCCGUGAAGCUGCCUGUGCCCAGUGCUGUUGCUUUCCCCCCUGUGUUCCAUCGCUCUCGGGACACACAGGGGAAAUCAGCAACAUCUGGUAAGAGAAGCAUCUUUGCCCAGGAGAUUGCAGCAAGGAGAAUAUCUGAAGCCAGGGUCCCAUCAGCUGGGGAAGUUGUGCCCAAUCUGGGCCCACCAGAGGGUGCUGUGACCUGCGAGACACCGGCUCCUAGGGAACAGGGCUGCCAGCUUCCUGGAAGCAGCCACAGCUUCCAGGGACCUAAUCUGGUCACAGGGAAGGGACUCAGGGGUCAAGAAGCUGAGCAGGAAGCCCAGACUAUCCAUGAAGAGAAUGUAGCAAGACUGCAGGCCAUGGCUCCUGAGGAGAUCCUGCAGGAACAGCAGCGGUUGCUGGCGCAGCUUGACCCCAGCUUGGUUGCUUUCUUGAGAUCUCACAGCCGCACCCAAGAGCAAACAGGAGAGAAGGCCUCUGAGGAGCCCAGGCCAGGAAGACCCUCUGCUAAUGUCACCAAGGAGGAGCCCCUCAUGUCAUCUUCUGCCAGUGAGCCCAAGAAGGGAGACAAGCUAGAGCCAGAAGCCCCAGCUCUGGCACUGCCCGUGACCCUUCAGAAAGAAUGGCUGCACAUGGACACUGUCGAGCUGGAGAAGCUCCAUUGGACCCAGGACUUGCCCCCUCUCCGGCGGCAGCAGACACAGGAGAGGAUGCAGGCUCGUUUCAGCCUUCAGGGAGAACUACUGGCCCCUGACAUGGACCUGCCCACCCACCUGGGUCUGCACCACCAUGGAGAGGAGGCAGAGAGAGCAGGGUACUCCCUACAGGAGCUGUUCCACCUGACCCGCAGCCAGGUGUCGCAGCAGAGAGCACUGGCACUGCAUGUGUUGGCCCAAGUCAUAAGCAGGGCCCAGGCUGGUGAGUUUGGGGACCGGCUAGCCGGCAGUGUCUUAAGCCUCCUUUUGGAUGCGGGUUUCCUCUUCCUACUGCGCUUUUCCUUGGAUGACAGAGUGGAUGGGGUCAUUGCAGCUGCCAUCCGUGCUCUUCGGGCUCUGCUGGUGGCUCCUGGAGAUGAGGAACUCCUCGACAGCACCUUCUCUUGGUACCAUGGAGCUUUGACGUUCCCUCUCAUGCCCAGUCAGGAGGACAAGGAAGAUGAAGAUGAGGAUGAAGAACACCCAGCAGAAAAGGCAAAAAGGAAAAGCCCUGAAGAAGAAAGCAGGCCUCCACCUGACCUGGCCCGACAUGAUGUCAUCAAGGGGCUCCUGGCUACCAGCCUGCUGCCUCGGCUGCGCUAUGUGCUGGAGGUGACCUACCCAGGACCUGCUGUGGUUCUUGACAUCCUGGCCGUGCUCAUCCGCCUGGCCCGGCAUUCCCUGGAGUCAGCCACAAGGGUCCUGGAGUGCCCUCGGCUGAUAGAAACCAUAGUUCGAGAGUUCUUGCCCACCAGCUGGUCUCCUGUUGAGGCAGGACCUACCCCCAGUCUAUACAAAGUACCCUGUGCUACUGCCAUGAAACUACUUCGUGUCCUGGCCUCAGCUGGGAGGAAUAUUGCUGCUCGGCUGUUGAGCAGCUUUGAUCUCCGGAGCCGCCUGUUCCGCUUCAUAGCUGAGGCUCCCCAAGAACUGACCUUGCCCCCGGAGGAAGCUGAGACACUGAGCAUUGAGGCUCUCCGUUUGUGGGCGGUGGCUGCCUCCUAUGGCCAGGGCGGUGACCUUUACAGGGACCUCUACCCAGUGGUGAUGCGGGCCUUGCAGGUGAUGCCGCAGGAGCUCAGCAUCCACCCACCUCAGCCCCUGUCCAUGCAGCGGAUAGCCUCACUGCUCACUCUCCUCACCCAGCUGACCCUGGCAGCUGGCAGCACCCCCACUGAAACCAUCAGCAACUCUGUUGAGGCCAGCCUCUCAGUUACCUCCUUAGUCACUUGGACACAGGUGUCUGGGCUCCAGCCUCUUGUUGAGCUGUGUCUAAGGCAAACCUUGAAGUUGCUGUCCAGACCUGAGAUGUGGAGAGCUGUGGGCCCAGUGCCUGCUGCCUGCCUGUUGUUCCUGGGUGCCUUCUACCAGGCCUGGAGCAAGCAACCGAGCUCAUGCCCAGAGGAUUGGCUCCAGGACAUGGAGCGCCUGUCAGAGGAGCUGUUGCUGCCGCUGCUGAGCCAGCCCGCCCUGGGCAGCCUGUGGGAUUCCCUUAGGCACUGCUCCCCUCUCUGCAACCCGUUGUCCUGUGCGCAAGCCCCUGAAGCUCCCCCAAGCCUCGUGUCACUGGGCUGCUCGGGAGGCUGCCCCCCUCUCAGUCUGGCUGGCUCAGCCUCACCCUUCCCAUUCCUCACUGCCCUCCUCUCUCUUCUCAAUACCAUGGCCUGGAUCCACAAGGGGCUGUGUGGCCAGUUGGCUGCCGUAUUGGCUGCCCCGGGACUCCAGAAGUACUUCCUCCAGUGUGUGGCUCCUGGGGCUGCCUCUCCCCUCACACCGUUCUCUGCGUGGGCCCUGCGUCAUGAGUACCACCUGCAGUACCUGGCACUCGCUCUGGCCCAGAAAGCGGCAACACUGCAGCCAUUGCCAGCCACCCAUGCAGCCCUUUAUCAUGGUAUGGCCUUGGCCCUGCUGAGCCGGCUGCUGCCUGGAAGCGAGUACCUCGCCCAUGAGCUGCUGCUGAGCUGUGUAUUCCGGCUGGAGUUCCUCCCGGAAAGAACAUCAGGGGGUCCAGAGGCAGCUGACUUCUCUGACCAGCUGUCUUUAGGAAGCAGCAGGGCCCCUCGCUGUGGGCAAGGGGCUCUGCUAGCUCAGGCCUGCCAGGACCUCCCCAGCAUCCGCAGCUGCUACCUGACUCACUGCUCACCAGCCCAAGCCAGUCUGUUGGCCUCCCAGGCUCUGUACCGAGCAGAGCUACGGCGACUCCCGACCCUGCUACUGCCUGUGCCUACGGAGCCGCUGCUGCCCACCGACUGGCCCUUCCUGCCACUGAUUCGCCUCUACCACCAGGUUUCAGACACCCCCUCGGGGCUCCCUCCCACAGACACCGUGGGCACAGCCAUGCGGGUCCUGCAGUGGGUGCUAGUUCUGGAGAGCUGGCGCCCCCAGGCCCUCUGGGCUGUGCCCCCUGCUGCCCACCUGGCACGGCUCAUGUGUGUGUUCCUGGUGGACAGUGAGCUGUUCCGGGAGUCCCCAGUACAGCGUCUGGUGGCAGUCCUCCUGGCCCAGCUCUGUCAGCCUCAAGUCUUGCCAAACCUCAACCUGGACUGCCCACUCCCUGGCCUGACGUCUUUCCCGGACCUCUAUACCAACUUCCUGGAUCAUUUUGAGGCUGUCUCUUUUGGGGACCACCUCUUUGGGUCCCUGGUCCUCCUGCCUCUGCAGCGUCGGUUCAGUGUCACUUUGCGCCUCGCCCUCUUUGGGGAACACGUGGGAGCUUUGCGAGCUCUGAGCCUGCCUCUGACUCAGCACAUCAUUUCACCUGUCACAGUUGCCUGUGUCCCUGGAGUGCUACACGGUACCUCCUGAAGACAACCUGGCCCUUCUUCAGCUCUACUUCAGGACCCUGGUUACCGGUGCGCUCCGUCCACAUUGGUGCCCUGUGCUCUAUGCUGUGGCUGUGGCUCAUGUCAAUAGCUUCAUCUUCUCUCAGGACCCACAGAGCUCAGAUGAGGUAAAGGCUGCCCGCAGGAGUAUGCUGCAGAAAACAUGGCUGCUGGCAGAUGAGGGUCUCCGGCGGCACCUCCUCCACUAUAAGCUUCCCAAUUCCACGCUCCCAGAGGGCUUUGAGCUCUAUCCUCAGUUGCCCCCUCUGCGUCAGCACUACCUCCAAAGACUGACUUCAGCGGUGCUCCAAAAUGGGGUAUCGGAGACCUAGGACAGUUGCUAUAGAUGUUCUGUAUCCAGCCUUUCAACAGAUGCCCAGCCAGACAGAGGACAUUGUGUCCUAAUGGUAGGCAGGAGACCAAGGACCACAAGGCUCGCCUUCCUGGGAGCAGGUUGUUUGAGCUGUUUGGGAGCAGAAUGAGCCCUACCAUUACGUCCUGAUAUCUGGGGCUCCUGAAGGUCUGUGCUGGGAGUGAAGAGUGACUUAGCUGUUUAGCUUGUCUUUGGGGACAGGGCAAACUAAAUGCAUCUCUCCUUACCUACUCCCACCCCCUGCCCCGGGCUGAGGUAUAUGAACGCUAUAGUUGUACAUUAAAAUAAAUGUUUUCUAUCUCCUGGAAA